rnacentral:rRNA from 1 species
ACUCAAAUGAAUUGACGGGGACCCGCACAAGCAGUGGAGCAUGUGGUUUAAUUCGACGAUACGCGAAGAACCUUACCCACACUUGACAUCCUAGGAACGUUUAAGAGAUUAGACAGUGCCCGGAAGGGAGCCUAGUGACAGGUGUUGCAUGGCCGUCGUCAGCUCGUGUCGUGAGAUGUUGGGUUAAGUCCCGCAACGAGCGCAACCCUUAUUGUAUGUUGUAUUUUUCAUACGAUACUGCCGGUGACAAAUCGGAGGAAGGUGGGGAUGAAGUCAGGUCAGCAUGGCCCUUACGUGUGGGGCUACACACGUGCUACAAUGGCCGGUACAACGGGUCGCUAAGCCGCAAGGCGGAGCUAAUCCCACCAAAACCGGUCCCAGUUCGGAUUGUAGGCUGCAACUCGCCUACAUGAAGUCGGAAUUGCUAGUAACCGCAGGUCAGCACACUGCGGUGAAUACGUUCUCGGGUCUUGCACACACCGCCCGU